rnacentral:rRNA from 1 species
AGAGUUGAUCAUGGCUCAGGAUGAACGCUGGCGGCGUGCUUAACACAUGCAAGUCGAACGAAGCCAAAAGGAAGCUUGCUUCCUGAAGCUUAGUGGCGGACGGGUGAGUAACGCGUGAGGAACCUGCCCUUCAGUGGGGAAUAACAGCCGGAAACGACUGCUAAUACCGCAUAACGUCACCGGAUCGCAUGAUCUGGUGACCAAAGGAUUUAUUCGCUGAAGGAUGGCCUCGCGUCCGAUUAGGCAGUUGGUGAGGUAACGGCCCACCAAACCUACGAUCGGUAGCCGAACUGAGAGGUUGAUCGGCCACAUUGGGACUGAGACACGGCCCAGACUCCUACGGGAGGCAGCAGUGGGGAAUAUUGGGCAAUGGGCGAAAGCCUCGACCCAGCAACGCCGCGUGAAGGAAGACGGUCUUCGGAUUGUAAACUUCUUUGAUUGGGGAAGAACACAAUGACCUACCCAAAGAACAAGUCACGGCUAACUACGUGCCAGCCGCUGC